AAACAUUGUCUUGACAUAUAUCACAUUAAGUGGAGAGUUUAACAUGUAUGUCUUACGUUACGACAGUCCCCAGGUUACGAACGGGAUUGAACGAAGUUGAAUUUGUAGACUGUCCCUCACCAAGCAUGAGAUGUGCAGUGCAUCCACCUGAAAAUGCUUAGGUGUCAAUCAGGUAACCGAGCAGUGAUUCCGCAGCUCUAUGGAGGGUGUAAUUAGGAGCUUUGAAGAAUGAGCAGACUUGCAAAUGGAAGUGCAGAACACAAAGCAGGGGCUCCCUGGGCGGGACGCCAAGGAACAAAGGCUAACUGUCAUUAGAACCACAGAAGAUAAUACAGAGACGGCCAUAUGUUUGAUGGACCUGUUUGGAGCCCUCAUUGGUGGCAAACGUGCAAGGCCUGGCUCCGUGAUAUCGCAGCCUGUUCUCAGAGCGAGGACUAUAAUAGGAUGGGUGUUGAUAGUGACUGUGGUGUGGGGCUGGCAGCCUUCACUGAUAAGCAGGCAGACACACGAGUGUGAAAUGUGCAGGAUCCCAGCGCUCUGCUGGUGGGCAGAUUAGAUCCCAAAUGCAAACAUUGCUUCACUGUUAUUCCGCCCGACCAAAACAACGCAGAGCGCCAAUGAGAAAGACGAGCUGAGUCAUUAGCACCAAGAGGGUAACAGAUAACUGAAAUAAGGACAUUAGACACAGAUGUAAGCGAGUAGAGCAGCAUAAUUCUUCACCUCCCUAUAAUCUGAAUCUGCUCAUUUGUCUUGUCUAGUUUUGAGGGAUCCACUAAAACCUCCAGCAGAUGGCUGAGAACAUUUAUGAUUCAGUUUAGUAUUUAUGUAGCUUAUUCCAAAUGUUGCCUGACUCACUUGAAGGGUAUCUGGCAUCUUUGCCGUGUCAAUUUGCGAGUCAUUUUUUGUGGUCACCACUUUAAUACACUUCAAUUUCAUUUCUUGUAAAAGUAAUAAAAUUAGCUGGAGACUAGUUUAAUGACAUUUACAUGCUGUGACUGGGGGUUGUCAGUAAAUGUAUUUGUUACAUCAGGUUAUGUUUUAGUUGCCAUAGUAACCUGUUUUUUUCCCCCCCAGUUUCUUUACAUAAGGAAUAUGGAUCACAGUUUCUAAUAUUUUAAGAAAAGUCCUAUCAGAAACCCUUGACAAAUUACAGUAGCCCAAUAGAUAAAGUUACGUUUA